rnacentral:rRNA from 1 species
UUGCCUACGGGGGGCAGCAGUGGGGAAUAUUGCAAAAUGGGGGGAACCCUGAUGCGGCGACGCCGCGUGAGUGAAGAAGUAUUUCGGUACGUAAAGCUCUUUCAGCAGGGAAGAAAAAAGGACGGUACCUGAGUAAGAAGCCCCGGCUAACUACGUGCCAGCAGCCGCGGUAAUACGUAGGGGGCAAGCGUUCUCCGGAAUUACUGGGUGUAAAGGGAGCGUAGACGGCAAUGCAAGUCCGGCGUGGAAUGCGGCAGC